UACGUAGGGUCCGAGCGUUAAUCGGAAUUACUGGGCGUAAAGCGUGCGCAGGCGGUUUUUGUAAGCCAGAUGUGAAAAUCCCCCGGGCUUAACUUGGGAACUGCAUUUGGGACUGCAAGGCUGGAGUACGGCAGAGGGAGGUGGAAUUCCACGUGUAGCAGUGAAAUGCGUAGAGAUGUGGAGGAACACCGAUGGCGAAGGCAGCCUCCUGGGCUAGUACUGACGCUCAUGCACGAAAGCGUGGGGAGCAAACAGG
rnacentral:rRNA from 1 species